CAGCCGCCGCGGGAAUACCAGCAGCCCAAGUGGUGGUCGCGAUUAUUGGGCCUAAAGCGCUCGUAGCCGGGCCGGUAAGUCCCUUGUGAAAUCGGACGGCCUAACCGUUCGGCGUGCAAGGAAUACUGUCGGUCUUGAGGCCGGGAGACGUCCGAGGUACUCCGGGGGUAGCGGUGAAAUGUUCUGAUCCUCGGGGGACCACCGGUGGCGAAGGCGUUCGACGAGAACGGGCCUGACGGUGAGGGGCGAAGGCUAGGGGAGCAAACGGGAUUAGAUACCCCGGUAGUCCCUGUCUCUUAUA
rnacentral:rRNA from 1 species